rnacentral:sRNA from 2 species
GAUCUGCUGGACACAUCAAUAGUCUCAUCGUCAAGGCGCGGUUGGGCGAAAAGCAACAGAAACACAUUUUACAUCCAAACUCCCCACCAAGCGAAACAGAACUAUUUUCGGCGAUAUUGCAGUCCGUUGCUGAUUCCUAGGAUUGCCCAGGGGGUGCAGUACUUCUCCUUUUCCUCACUUCGCUUUCUUCCUCUUCUUCCUCCGCUUUAGACUCGGCCUCUGGUCGUUUGUUAAACAUCUGUAUCAGUCGAAGCCGUAUCAAUUUAUAUAUCUCAGCAAACCUGUCUUCCUAAUAAUAUACCGAUCCUCGCCACUUCUCAGCUGCUGAUGUCGUUUGUCGAAAUAUUGUUCCUUGAUAUUUCUCCUUUCUGACCAACCUCCGAAUUCAUUCCAUCCACGACACCCCACAAUCCGCUGCUGCGACGAGACUCUCGAACAAAUAUCGCUGAGAGCAAUGGCCUAGACUAGACAGUUUAAAUUUCUCUCUCUCUGUCUCUCUCUCUUCCCUCUCAUCCCUCCCUCGACCGCAUCCCCCUCGAUUUUUAACUUCUCGCCAAAUAAUACCCAGCAUAAGCUUGACCUCCAGUUGAGAGAAGGAACCGUGAUCCCACAUACACCAGCCCGAACUUAGGAGUGGUAGAAUAAAACCUCAGUGGCUCUCUCGGGUGUCUUUUUCCCACCGAAUAAAAUUGAGGUUCUAUUUCACCCUUUCUCCAUCACCAAUAUAUAUAUAUUUAUAUAUAUAUUUAUCAUGCUUGACACCACAGAUGUUCAUUCAAUUUAUGCGCGGUCUGGCGGUGGCGCGCUCGGUGGCCC